AGCGAACGCUGGCGGAAUGCUUAACACAUGCAAGUCGCACGCCCUGCAAGGGGAGUGGCGGACGGGUGAGUAACGCGUAGGAAUAUGUCCAGAGGUGGGGGACAACCCUGGGAAACUGGGGCUAAUACCGCAUAUGGGCUGAGGCACAAAGCAGUGAUGCGCCUUUGGAGUAGCCUGCGUCCGAUGAGCUUGUUGGUGGGGUAAAGGCUUACCAAGGCGACGAUCGGUAGCUGGUCUGAGAGGACGACCAGCCACACUGGGACUGAGACACGGCCCAGACUCCUACGGGAGGCAGCAGUGGGGAAUAUUGGACAAUGGGCGCAAGCCUGAUCCAGCAAUUCCGCGUGGGUGAAGAAGGUCUUCGGAUUGUAAAGCCCUUUCGACGGGGACGAUGAUGACGGUACCCGUAGAAGAAGCCCCGGCUAACUUCGUGCCAGCCGCCGCAGUAA
rnacentral:rRNA from 1 species